UACGUAGGGCGCAAGCGUUAUCCGGAAUUAUUGGGCGUAAAGAGCUCGUAGGCGGUUUGUCGCGUCUGCUGUGAAAGACCGGGGCUCAACUCCGGUUCUGCAGUGGGUACGGGCAGACUAGAGUGCAGUAGGGGAGACUGGAAUUCCUGGUGUAGCGGUGAAAUGCGCAGAUAUCAGGAGGAACACCGAUGGCGAAGGCAGGUCUCUGGGCUGUAACUGACGCUGAGGAGCGAAAGCAUGGGGAGCAAACAGG
rnacentral:rRNA from 1 species